rnacentral:rRNA from 1 species
AUUGAACGCUGGCGGCAGGCCUAACACAUGCAAGUCGAGCGGAGCGGCGGACGGGUGAGUAAUGCCUAGGAAUCUGCCUCGUAGUGGGGGAUAACGUACGCCAACGGGCGCUAAUACUGCAUACUUUCAUAUGAGCCUAGCUCCGAUUAGCUUGUUGGUGGGGUACAGGCCUACCAAGGCCACGAUCCGUAACUGGUCUGGGAGGAUGAUCAGUCACACUGGAACUGAGACACUGGCCAGACUCCUACGGCAGGCAGCAGUGGGGAAUAUUGGACAAUGGGCGAAAGCCUGAUCCAGCCAUGCCGCGUGUGUGAAGAAGGUCUUCGGAUUGUAAAGCACUUUAAGUUGGGAGGCGUUACCAACAGAAUAAGCACCGGCUAACUUCGUGCCAGCAGCCGCGGUAAGAG